UACUGGCCUUGACAGUGGAGUUGGGAGAGUGCAGUGAUCCAAUCCCAUGGGAGGGGAGAUGCAUCUGGGACCUGAGGUCUUCCGGACAGGGAACAGUAGUCCUUGCACAUCUGGUGUACCAGCUUUUGAUGGACAUGCGGGUUGCUUCUAUCCUUUGGCUACUUUGAAUUGUGCCGCUACGAAAUUAGUGUAAUCAGAAAAUCAAAUUCUGAAUUUUCAUCUGGAAUAACAACAUGGAUUUUCCUUUUAAAAUAAAAGUUACUUCAAAAAGAGAGCGAAUGGAAAAGUGUGGCAUAAGUAGGUAACAUUAGACGGAGAGCCCCAGGC